AGGCAUGCAAGUCGAACGGUAAGAUCCCCUUCGGGGGAUUGAGAGUGGCGGACGGGUGCGUAACGCGUAUGCAACCAACCCCCGACGGGCGGAUAGCCGGUGGAAACGCCGGAUAAGCCGCCAUGCGGCCGACGAGGGGCAUCCCUUGUCGGUCAAAGCGGAGACGCGGUGGGGGACGGGCAUGCGUCCCAUUAUAUAGUUGGCGGGGCGACGGCCCACCAAGUCGACGAUGGGUAGGGGAUCUGAGAGGACGGUCCCCCACACUGGUACUGAGACACGGACCAGACUCCUGCGGGAGGCAGCAGUAAGGGAUAUUGGUCAAUGGUCGGAAGACUGAACCAGCCAUGCCGCGUGAGGUAUGAAGGGCCUACGGGUCGNUAGCCUCUUUUACCCGGGGGACAAGGGGCGCCCACGCGAUGGGUGCUUGAGGGUACCGGGGGGAAUAAGCGUAGGGUUAACUCCGUGCCCAGCAGCCGCGGUAAUACGGAGGACGGGAGCGUUAUCCGGAUUCAUGGGGUUUAAAGGUGGGCAAGGCGGCGGGGCAAAUCAGCGCUGAAGCCUCGGGGCCCAACCCCGGAAGUGCCGUUGAUACUGUCGGGNUGGAAUACGAUAGAGACGGGCGGAACGUGGCGUGUAUCGGUGAAAUGCGUAGAUAUGCCACAGAACGCCGAUAGCGGAGGCAGCUCGUCAGGCCUGCAUUGACGAUCGGGCACGAAUGCGUGGGGAUCGAACAGCAUUACAUAUCUCUGUAGCUGGGAAUUCUGCCGAUAUCCUUUAUUUAAGACGGCCGCCAAUCACUAGGUAUAGUUGGCAGCCUCGCUUCGUCGAACAGCAAGGGUGCGGUUAAUAAUAUCCCG
rnacentral:rRNA from 1 species